GGCCGUGGGCCCCCGGCUCCCACCCCUUAACCCCUUCCCGGCUUCCCUUUCCCAGACGGCCAUCUCCCAGCUGGCCUGGCCCACAAGAUUCCCAGAUUUCACAACCCGGGCUGGCGCUGACUCACGUACAGGAGAGAUGAAACACUGGAGCAAAGGGGACCGGGCGUGCUGCCCACGAGCAUGAGCGCCAUGAGGAGGAGGGCCCGUGAGCAGGGACAUGUGGAGCCACAGGGGAGGUACCCAUGGAGUGGAAUUCGGCCGAAGGGAACCCAAUUGUCAUCUUCUAAGUGUGUUCCCAGGCCAGGGACCGCCAGGGCUCUGACUGACACCCUACUCCUGUCCUCAGAAGUUCCAGAACGUUCCUGGGACUUGGGAGCCUCCAGCUCUGGCAGCUGUCCCGGAACACUGGAAUGCUGGGACUCAAAGCUCCUUCCUGCCCGCCUUCCGGGAGGCACUUGAGCCCUGAAGUACCAGGGCCCGUUGCAGCUCUUGGUUCAAGGAUGAUCGAGUGACUAAGUCUGUCCGGGUCUCUCAUGCUGGCAGUCUUUGGAGGAUAUGCAGUUUCUCCUUGAGCUCUAGAGUGAGCAAGGCCAACACAAAGACAAAGCCCCACCCCCACCCUAGAAAUG
rnacentral:lncRNA from 1 species